GCCUUGCUAGAGGAAGUGUGUCACUGGGGAUGGGCUAUGAGAGUUCAAAGUCUUGGUCUACUUUUAGUAUGUUCUCUCUGCUUUUUGUU
rnacentral:miRNA from 1 species